CACGUAGGCACCAAGCGUUGUCCGGAAUCAUUGGGCGUAAAGAGCGCGCAGGCGGCUUGGCAAGUCGGGUGUGAAAUCCCGGGGCUCAACCCCGUGACUGCAUCCGAUACUGUCAGGCUAGAGGUAGGUAGGGGAGAUCGGAAUUCCUGGUGUAGCGGUGAAAUGCGCAGAUAUCAGGAGGAACACCGGUGGCGAAGGCGGAUCUCUGGGCCUUACCUGACGCUCAGGCGCGAAAGCUAGGGGAGCGAACAGG
rnacentral:rRNA from 1 species